GGGUCAAUGAUGAGAACUCAUAUGGUCCUGAAGAGAGAUGAUGACCUAAAAAUCAUGCUCAGUAGGAUUACGCUGAUGCCC
ensembl:snoRNA SNORD115 Small nucleolar RNA SNORD115